rnacentral:rRNA from 1 species
GAUGAACGCUGGCGGCGUGCCUAAUACAUGCAAGUCGAGCGAACAGACGAGGAGCUUGCUCCUCUGACGUUAGCGGCGGACGGGUGAGUAACACGUGGAUAACCUACCUAUAAGACUGGGAUAACUUCGGGAAACCGGAGCUAAUACCGGAUAAUAUAUUGAACCGCAUGGUUCAAUAGUGAAAGACGGUUUUGCUGUCUCUUAUAGCUGGAUCCGCGCCGCAUUAGCUAGUUGGUAAGGUAACGGCUUACCAAGGCAACGAUGCGUAGCCGACCUGAGAGGGUGAUCGGCCACACUGGAACUGAGACACGGUCCAGACUCCUACGGGAGGCAGCAGUAGGGAAUCUUCCGCAAUGGGCGAAAGCCUGACGGAGCAACGCCGCGUGAGUGAUGAAGGUCUUCGGAUCGUAAAACUCUGUUAUUAGGGAAGAACAAAUGUGUAAGUAACUAUGCACGUCUUGACGGUACCUAAUCAGAAAGCCACGGCUAACUACGUG